rnacentral:rRNA from 1 species
CCCCACUGCUAUCGGGAUAGGACUAAGACAUGCUAGUCGAGCGCCUUCUAGCCAAAAGGAGGCGCGGCGCACAGCUCAGUAGCACGUGGCUAACCUGCCCUUGGGAUAGGAACAACCCCGGGAAACUGGGGCUAAUUCCCAAUAGGUGAAGAACUCUGGAAUGAGUCUUCGCCAGAAAGGACUCCUACACUAUGCUUGUAGGUUUCGCCCAAGGAUGGGGCCGCGACCGAUCAGGUUGUUGGUGAGGUAAUGGCUCACCAAGCCUUUUACCGGUGCGGGCCGUGGGAGCGGAAGCCCGGAGAUGGGCACUGAGACAAGGGCCCAGGCCCUACGGGGCGCAGCAGUCGCGAAAACUUUGCAAUAAGCGCAAGCUUGACAGGGCUAUCCCGAGUGCCAUCCGCUGAGGAAGGCUUUUACCCAGUCUAGAAAGCUGGGGGAAUAAGGAGAGGGCAAGUCUGGUGUCAGCCGCCGCGGUAAUACCAGCUCUCCGAGUGGUGUGG